rnacentral:rRNA from 1 species
GUGAGGAAUAUUGGUCAAUGGGCGGGAGCCUGAACCAGCCAAGUCGCGUGAAGGAAGAAGGAUCUAUGGUUCGUAAACUUCUUUUGCAGGGGAAUAAAGUGCGGGACGUGUCCUGUUUUGUAUGUACCCUGAGAAUAAGGAUCGGCUAACUCCGUGCCAGCAGCCGCGGUAAUACGGAGGAUCCGAGCGUUAUCCGGAUUUAUUGGGUUUAAAGUGUGCGUAGGUGGUUUGAUAAGUCAGCGGGGAAAGUUUGCAGCUUAACUGUAGAAAUGCCGUUGAAACUGUCGGACUUGAGUGUAAAUGAGGUAGGCGGAAUGCGUGGUGUAGCGGUGAAAUGCAUAGGUAUCACGCAGAACUCCGAUUGCGAAUGCAGCUUACUAAGCUACUACUGACUCUGAAGCACGAAAGCGUGGGGAUCAAACAGGAUUAGAAACCCCUGUAGUCC